UGUCCCUUCACAUUGUCUUCCUUCUGUGAGUGCUUGCGUUCAACAUUCCUCUAUUUCGAGAGGACACCUGUGCCCUGGAUAAGAGGCCCAUGCUACUCCAGUAUCCAACAUUUGUGUGUACUCGUUCAGGUUAGUCCAGCAAGGCUCAUGAAUCCCAGUGUAACGUCCUUCAGGAAGGAAGAAAAAGGAAAUACCAGAUGAGCAAUUUAGACUUCCUGCAGCAUGUGGGCCUCCAAUCACAAGGAAUGCUACAUGACUUUCACCCCGCGAGCUGUAUCAAGCAGAAUUUAAAUUAAAAAGAAAAAAAGAAAGAACUACACUGAAACAUCUGGGGACCAGAGCCUACCAGAUUAAUACAUGAAGUUCAUUACCACAAGGAGAAUGUGGCACACUCUUACAGCAGGUUCGUUGCCACUAUCCAUAUGAGUCCUCUUCCCCACCUACUACCAACAAUUUUGCUAAAGUUUGGCUGAUUCCUUACUUUCUUUUCUCCUUCCAAAAUAAUUAUGGGGCACUCUCUUUGGCUCUCACACUUCGUCUGCCACCUCACCUCCUCAGCCUACCACCUACAAAGCUCUGAGGUUGCUCUAAGGUAAAUCAGAUCAUUUUGAAUACUUCUGUUUGCUACACCUAUUCAAACUUCUCCAGUUAACUCUUUAGGAAACCUGGACUGUCCAAAUAAUCUUCUCAAAGUUUGUUCAGACACCAAAAAAGGCAAAGAAAGU